GUGAAUCAUCAAAUUUUUGAACGCAAAUUGCACUUUCUGGUAUUCCGGAAAGUAUUCCUGUUUGAGGUUCAGUUAAAUAAAAAUCGGUGUUUUUGCAUCUUUUCGUGGUGACGCGUCGGAAUUGAGUUGUCUUACCUUCUGUUAAGUGACUUAAAAUUUUUCAUGAUUUUCUAACGUAUUUAAAUUUCUUACGUACGUUUUAUAUAUCGAAUACUUUAUUAGUUUCGGUCACCCUCAUGAUUCGCACCUAUAAUUUUUCAUUAAAUGACCUCAAUUCAUGUAAUAAUACCCUCUGAACUUA
rnacentral:misc_RNA from 1 species